UUUUUAGCAUAAGUGUAUCCUAUACAAUAAUUAGGAUAUCCUUAUGCUUAAA
rnacentral:miRNA from 1 species